ACGGAGGGGGCAAGCGUUGUUCGGAAUCACUGGGCGUAAAGGGCGCGUAGGCGGUUAUGCUAGUCAGGUGUGAAAUCCCCAGGCUUAACUUGGGAACUGCGCUUGAAACUGCAUAGCUUGAGGCCGGGAGAGGAAAGUGGAAUUCCUGGUGUAGCGGUGAAAUGCGUAGAUAUCAGGAGGAACACCGGUGGCGAAGGCGGCUUUCUGGACCGGUUCUGACGCUGAAGCGCGAAAGCGUGGGGAGCAAACGG
rnacentral:rRNA from 1 species